ACGGCGUCCGCAGCACGGCCUGAGGCGCCGGCGCGGCCCGGUCCGCGUCUGACAGGAGAGGCCGAGGGGAAAGGCGGGAGCGCGGGGCCGAGGGUUGCAGGGCUGCGGUGGAGGAAGCCGGGACACACCGGGGCAGGGAGCCGGGGCUCACCGGGGCAGGGAACCGGGGCACACCGCGGGGGGAGCCGCGGCCCCCCCGCCCCCGCUCUCCCCGCCCGGGCCGGGGCCGCGCGCGCGCAGCGAGAGGCGGCCAGGGAGAGUGUCGCCCCCUAGCGGCGGCUCUGGCCCUCGCACACGUGUGCCCGCGGGUUCGAGUCCCGGCGCUGCCCGCUGGCACCGGGGACUGUGCGCUGCGGUUAAUCUCGGGCUCUGCCGCUGCAGUGGGUCCGGGAGAAGCGACCAUGUCCAUCGCCUCCUCCAACACCACCAUGAGGGUGCCCGCCGGCUUCCGGAACCUGUUGGAGGGGCUGGCACGGGAAGUGCUGCGGGAGCAGCCCACCAACGUGGUGGCCUUUGCAGCUCAGCACUUCCAAAAGCUGCUGGAGCAGAGAGAGGCCUGGCAGGGGUGUCGGGCUGAUAGGCUCGCCCGGAGGAAAGCGCAUUACGUAGGCAAGCGGCUCCGCUCAACUUGCCACCUGCGCCGGGAGAGCUGCCGGGGAAGCGAGAUCCUGCCGGAGCCCCUCGCCCGCCGCUGGCCGCCCACCCGCCCUCCGCCAUGGACUGCUGCAAUGAGGGAGCCUGCACAAAGCUGGACGAGGACAUCCUGGACAUCCCUUUGGACGAUCCUGAUGCCAACGCGGCAGCUGCCAAGAUCCAGGCUAGUUUCCGUGGCCAUAUGACCCGCAAGAAGAUCAAAGGGGGCGAGAUUGAUCGGAAAACCAAGGACGCCGAGUGCGCCAACAGCACCCGCGGCGGCGACCUCCGCAACGGCGACUAGGGGCCACCAGCUGCUCACCGGAAACCCCUCGCCACCGACCCCCUCCCGCCGCCGCCCACCGAGGCCCAGGAGCCCCCGCUUCACCCCCUACCCCCCGCAUGCAUCCCCCGGGGUCCCCCCACAGCCAGGCCCUGCC